AUGGCCAUAUAACAUUGAAAACACAGGUUCUCGUUCGAAGUUAAGCAACAUUAGGCCUGGUCAGUACCUGGGAGGGUGACCACUUGGGAAUACCGGGUGCUGUAGGGU